rnacentral:tRNA from 1 species
AGGGGUGUGGCUCAAUGGUAGAGCACUUACCCAGCAUGUGUGAGGCACUGGGUUCGAUUCUCAGCACUGCAU